AAAUAGCCAGGCUUCUGUUGUGAGUGGCACACGUGGGGCAACUCGACUGCUCUUCGAGCGGAAUCAAUAUCAAGAGAGGAAACACAAUUUUUGGUACCUGGGAAGCUGGUGAUUAUUGGUCCGGGUGCCUGC
rnacentral:snRNA from 1 species